AACGUAGGAUCCGAGCGUUGUCCGGAAUCACUGGGUGUAAAGGGUGCGUAGGCGGGCUUGCGCGUCAAGGGUUAAAGACCUCGGCUCAACCGAGGGAAUGCCCUUGAUACGGCAGGUCUUGAGUGCGGGAGAGGAUGGUGGAAUUCCUGGUGGAGGGGGGAAAUGCGUAGAGAUCAGGAGGAACACCGAGGGCGAAGGCCGCCAUCUGGACCGCCACUGACGCUGAGGCACGAAAGCGUGGGGAGCAAACAGG
rnacentral:rRNA from 1 species